UUGAACGCUGGCGGAAUGCUUUACACAUGCAAGUCGAACGGCAGCACGGGGGCAACCCUGGUGGCGAGUGGCGAACGGGUGAGUAAUGUAUCGGAACGUACCCAGUCGUGGGGGAUAACUAUCCGAAAGGAUAGCUAAUACCGCAUACGCCCUGAGGGGGAAAGUGGGGGAUCGCAAGACCUCACGUUAUUCGAGCGGCCGACGUCUGAUUAGCUAGUUGGUGGGGUAAAGGCUCACCAAGGCGACGAUCAGUAGCGGGUCUGAGAGGAUGAUCCGUCACACUGGAACUGAGACACGGUCCAGACUCCUACGGGAGGCAGCAGUGGGGAAUUUUGGACAAUGGGGGCAACCCUGAUCCAGCCAUUCCGCGUGAGUGAAGAAGGCCUUCGGGUUGUAAAGCUCUUUCAGCCGGAACGAAACGGUACGCUCUAACAUAGCGUGCUAAUGACGGUACCGGCAGAAGAAGCACCGGCUAACUACGU
rnacentral:rRNA from 1 species